AGUGAACGCCGGCGGUAGGCCUAACACAUGCAAGUCGAACGGCAGCACAGUAAGAGCUUGCUCUUACGGGUGGCGAGUGGCGGACGGGUGAGGAUUACAUCGGAAUCUACUUUUUCGUGGGGGAUAACGUAGGGAAACUUACGCUAAUACCGCAUACGACCUACGGGUGAAAGCAGGGGAUCUUCGGACCUUGCGCGAUUGAAUGAGCCGAUGUCGGAUUAGCUAGUUGGCGGGGUAAAGGCCCACCAAGGCGACGAUCCGUAGCUGGUCUGAGAGGAUGAUCAGCCACACUGGAACUGAGACACGGUCCAGACUCCUACGGGAGGCAGCAGUGGGGAAUAUUGGACAAUGGGCGCAAGCCUGAUCCAGCCAUACCGCGUGGGUGAAGAAGGCCUUCGGGUUGUAAAGCCCUUUUGUUGGGAAAGAAAAGCAGCAGGUUAAUACCCCGCUGUUCUGACGGUACCCAAAGAAUAAGCACCGGCUAACUUCGUG
rnacentral:rRNA from 1 species